CCACAGCGCACAGGGAGAACAUUUGCUCGCUGAGUUUUCUGUAAAAUUCUUGCUGUUGGACCAGUUUUGACUGGAGUGCGAUAUUUAAGUAAGUGCAGCAAUCAGUCUUGCUAUUUUAUUUUUCGGACCAUCUGGUUUUGUGAGCAAAGGACCUUUUUACCCGGACAAUACUCAGCGUAUUUUCUGCAGGAACGACGAAGGGUGUGCAGUUAGUACCUCAAGUCUAGGGAAUGACAGUCUCACUCGGAGACCUGGUGGAUCCUGUUGGGCCCAGAGCACUGCCUGCCAGUGACGGUGGAAUGGAAACGGCUUGAGAAUGACUAAGAUAUAAGAACUGAGCAUCGGAACAUUAAAAAGUUCCACAUCAAACAUGGCUACUAGGCAGGAUAACGUGACGUGUGCAGUCUGCAUGGAAGUUUACAGGUCACCGAGGUUUCUGCCCUGUUAUCACACCUUCUGUCUACCGUGUCUAGAGGCGCUAGAAAAGAAACAUGGAUACAUCAUCCCGUGUCCUACAUGUAGAGCACCUGCUAUGAUACCAUUAGGUGGUGU